CAAUAUAUCAUAAAAACUGCUCGUAUAUAAUCGGAAAUAGGGUCCGGAAGUUUCUACCUGCUAGCCGUAAAUUAGCAGACUACGAGGGAACGAAAUUUUAAU
rfam:Clostridium baratii str. Sullivan, complete genome.